CUGAGCGAGUGAUGAGAAGAGUUAUCCCUGUCUGAACUCAUCGUUCCUCUGUGGAAGCACGACUCUGAGGCUCAG
rnacentral:snoRNA from 1 species